UGAAUACGAGACGCUAAGGCGUCGAAGUAGUGUAUGUCAUACUUCCAAGAAAAGCUUGCACUGUCAUAAGUAAAAAAUGCCUGUACCAUAACCGACACAGGUGGGUAGGUAGAGUAUACUAAGGGGCGCGAGAUAACUCUCUCUAAGGAACUCGGCAAAAUAACCCCGUAACUUCGGGAGAAGGAGUACCUUAUUCUAUAAGGUUGCAAUAACAAGAUCCAAGCAACUGUUUAUCAAAAACGCAGGUCUCCGCUAAGUCGUAAGACGAUGUAUGGGGGCUGACGCCUGCCCAGUGCCAGAAGGUUAAAGAAGUCGGUUAGCAUUAGCGAAGCUGGUAACUGAAGCCCUGGUGAACGGCGGCCGUAACUAUAACGGUCCUAAGGUAGCGAAAUUCCUUGUCGGGUAAGUUCCGACCCGCACGAAAGGCGUAAUGAUUUGGAUACUGUCUCGGAGAGGGGCUCGGUGAAAUAGACUUGUCUGUGAAGAUGCGGACUACCUGCACCUGGACAGAAAGACCCUAUGAAGCUUUACUGUAACUUGAAAUUGAAAUUGGACUUUAUUCGCGCAGUAUAGGUGGGAGGUGUUGAUUAUAAUCUUGCGGGAUUAUUGGAGCCAUCAGUGAGAUACCACUCUUGUAAUGUUAGAUUUCUAACUUUGAAUCAUUAUCUGGUCAAAGGACAGUUUCAGGCGGGCAGUUUGACUGGGGCGGUCGCCUCCCAAACGGUAACGGAGGCGUACAAAGGUUUCCUCUGAACGGGUAGAAAUCGUAUCUAGAGUGUAAAGGCAUAAGGAAGCUUGACUGUGAGACCUACAAGUCGAACAGGGACGAAAGUCGGUCUUAGUGAUCUGACGGUACUGAGUGGAAAGGCCGUCACUCAACGGAUAAAAGUUACUCUAGGAUAACAGGCUGAUCUCCCCCAAGAGUUCACAUCGACGGGGAGGUUUGGCACCUCGAUGUCGGCUCAUCGCAUCCUGGGGCGGUAGUACGUCCCAAGGGUUGGGCUGUUCGCCCAUGAAAGCGGUACGCGAGCUGGGUUCAGAACGUCGUGAGACAGUUCGGUCCAUAUCCGGUGUAGGCGUUAGAAUAUUGAGAGGAGCCUUCUUUAGUACGAGAGGACCGAGAAGGACAUACCUCUGGUGUACCAGUUAUCGUGCCAACGGUAAACGCUGGGUAGCUAUGUAUGGAGUGGAUAACCGCUGAAAGCAUCUAAGUGGGAAGCCCACCUCAAGAUAAGUAUUCUCA
rnacentral:rRNA from 1 species